rnacentral:tRNA from 1 species
GGGCAACUGGAUGGCCAGAGCGGCGCCGGUCUCGCUGCGGCCGAGGCUGCGGGCGGCCCCGAUCAUGGCGGGGGUGACCUU